AUCCCAGACCUAAAGAAAAACCAGAGACCUCUGCCCCCCUCCUCCCCCUCCUCUCUCUCUCUCUCUCUCUCUCUCUCUCUCUUUCUCUCUCUCUCUUCUUCGCAUGGAUAUGGUUUUGCUUGCCUCUCGUGGACCACUAGCAGUUGAAGCUGCCAGCAUGAUCUAAACUUCCCUCUUGGCCAGUCGAGGAAAGAUCAGAUCAUGUGGUAGCUUCACCUGUUGACGGGAUCACGAAAACGAACUUUACUUUCACAAUUCUAGCCCCUACACUGUCAGGCUAGUCUCUUUAUGUGUUUUUUCUCAUUUGGGCAGUCCUUUAUUUUGCUCUAAUUUACUUUCAUUUGAGUACCAUGGUACUGUUCCAUCGUUUUUUUUCCCUCUUCCCCUGUCCUUUUUCUUUUUCCUCAGUAUUAUUUGGCUUCCUGUUGAGCCUCCACUUGUAGGAUCUAACUUUGUGCAGAACUUUAUUUUGCAAAAGAAAGUCUUGACUUGACCAAUGAGAAUGAUCUUGAGCUAUGGAAGUAUGAGGGCAUGCUGGGGAAUCUUUCCGACCCAAAAAUGUUAGGGUUUCGAGUGACAGAAUUUCUCCAACCCAAAAAUGUCUGGUGCUUUUUAGAUUCCAAUCUUAUCUUAUCCCUAAUAAGUCCUUAUUCUGCAUAAUAAAGCCUUUGAUUGCAUUGCCUUUUAAUUUAGUUUAAUGUAUUGGUUUUGUUCAAGAACAAUUUAAAUGGUGACAUCUGUAAAAGAAUGCAUAACAAGGGGGGAAAAGCACUUGAAUCUCUGUGCAUGGCUGGCUGCAACUGCAAGUACUAUUGUAAAGCUUCAACUGUCCAUCAUGUAUAUACUUUUAAUAAGUCUCUUGGAUAUCUUUGUUUAAUCUUUUCAAUAAUUAAAAUGCUUGUGAAAUUUCUGCUCUA